rnacentral:misc_RNA from 1 species
UUAACUAUUAUAUAGUACUCAGACAUCACUAAAAACAAGAGUUGUGGUCCUCUGGCAGGCACUCAAGAGCCGAAGCCCCUGGCACGAGUGCGUCCUGCCAAAGCAACAAAGGUAUGUUAUUCAAGGGUGGAGAUCUACCCGUGAGGGCAUGAUACUCUGUAAUGAUCCUUCCGCAGGUUCACCUACGGAAA